AUUGAACGCUGGCGGGAUGCCUUACACAUGCAAGUCGAACGAGUGGCGGACGGGUGAGUAUUGUCUGGGAAACUGCCCUUUGGAGGGGGAUAACUACUGGAAACGGUAGCUAAUACCGCAUACCAUUGGAUGGGCCCAGAUGGGAUUAGCUAGUUGGUGGGGUAACGGCUCACCUAGGCGACGACACCUAGCUGGUCUGAGAGGAUGACCAGGCACACUGGAAAUGAGACACGGUCCAGACGCCAACGGAAGGCAGCAGUGGGGAAUAUUGGACAAAGGGGGGAAGCCUGAUGCAGCCAUGCCACGUGUAUGAAGAAGGCCUUCGGGUUGUAAAGUACGGUCAGCGGGGAGACGUUAGCCGCAGAAGAAGCACCGGCUGACUCCGUGCCAGCAGCCGCGGUAAUAC
rnacentral:rRNA from 1 species